rnacentral:rRNA from 1 species
UACGGAGGGAGCUAGCGUUGUUCGGAAUUACUGGGCGUAAAGCGCACGUAGGCGGUUAUUCAAGUCAGAGGUGAAAGCCCGGGGCUCAACCCCGGAACUGCCUUUGAAACUAGAUGACUGGAAUCUUGGAGAGGUCAGUGGAAUUCCGAGUGUAGAGGUGAAAUUCGUAGAUAUUCGGAAGAACACCAGUGGCGAAGGCGACUGACUGGACAAGUAUUGACGCUGAGGUGCGAAAGCGUGGGGAGCAAACAGG